rnacentral:rRNA from 1 species
UGGGGAAUAUUGGACAAUGGGCGAAAGCCUGAUCCAGCCAUGCCGCGUGUGUGAAGAAGGUCUUCGGAUUGUAAAGCACUUUAAGUUGGGAGGAAGGGCAGUUACCUAAUACGUGAUUGUUUUGACGUUACCGACAGAAUAAGCACCGGCUAACUCUGUGCCAGCAGCCGCGGUAAUACAGAGGGUGCAAGCGUUAAUCGGAAUUACUGGGCGUAAAGCGCGCGUAGGUGGUUUGUUAAGUUGGAUGUGAAAUCCCCGGGCUCAACCUGGGAACUGCAUUCAAAACUGACUGACUAGAGUAUGGUAGAGGGUGGUGGAAUUUCCUGUGUAGCGGUGAAAUGCGUAGAUAUAGGAAGGAACACCAGUGGCGAAGGCGACCACCUGGACUGAUACUGACACUGAGGUGCGAAAGCGUGGGGAGCAAACA